rnacentral:lncRNA from 1 species
UCCCGGCCCGCCUCCUCCUAAAGCUCGGGCCCUCUGGGACUGCUAGGAGGGGAAAAUCGUUUCAGGAUUGGAAAGGAAGGUACCAAAAUGAUUGGAGAGGGCCUUUCCCCGUUUCACUAGGCACUUGGAGAAGCUGUGACAGAGAGCUGGACACCCAGCGCGUGCGGACCCCGUGCGUAUUUCCCCGGAGUCCGCGUUCCGUGAAAGGGAGAGGGGUGCGGUUAGCUCCAGGGAUUCUCUAGCCCUGGAGCCACCGCUGAUUUGCGCAGCUAGUUGCCUGGGGGUGAUAAACGGGCGUCGUCUCUCUUCAGGAGCGCCAACACUACCAAGCUUCCCCCUGCAAAAUUCAGAAAGGAUGCGCUUUGGUGAGAACUUGGCUCAGCCUUCCCGUGGCUUGGGAGAUGAGGUUGGAGUGAGAAUGUCACCAGACCUCGGAAGGGGACAUAACGGUACCUCCUAGUCCCAGGACACGGGUACGUGGGCGGAGGUGGGGUGUGGGAGGUUGGUGGGAAGAGCGCAGGUUACUGGACUCAAACAGUUCCUGUUUUUUUUUUGUUUGUUUUUGUUUUCGUGGGGUUUUUCCCCCCCUCUGCUUGGUGCGUUCUGCGCAGCCCCAGAGGGAGUCUAUAAUGGGUACUGUUGGCACUCUGAGGUCUUGGGGUUGGGGGGCAAGGGUGAUUAAAAAUAAAAAUGAUUACCAAGAUGGGCUCCGGAAAGCUUUUCACAUCCAGCGGGUGGUGGAGGAGGGGAUGGAGUUGCCGAGGCCGUCUCGGGAGCCUCGUUUGUGCGCUAAGCCACUUAGAGGCGCUGACUUGCCCCUUUAGUGCAGCAGCUGAUGCUAAUGACUUGAGGUCUUUAACAGCCUGCAAGUUGACUCCUUCAACGGGGCUGCAACACCACGUCGCUGGGGAAUCUCGGGCUUCUUUUUCACAGUUCAAUUCUCUACUCCUAAAGGAAGAAAGGCCUUUGAGUGGUAUAGACAGUUUCUCAACUCCUUCAGCCCCACACACACCACCACUACUUUGAAGUGGGCAAUCUGUCAGCAUUAGGAUAAAUCGGAUUGUGUAGCUAGCUAAAGUGGAGGAGGCAGAACCACAACGUAAGGAGACAGCCUCGUUGUUGUUUUUCCUAGUGUUGAAAUAAUGUAUUUGGGGAGUUGGCAAAGAGCAGCUUACCAUGUUAGUUUGAUCCUCUCCCAGCUUUGAGACCCUUCUCUGGAACUCAGUGGGGUAUUGAGGCUUUGACAGCCUGGUGACUGCAGUCCCAGGAGGCCAGGGGAGGAUUUUGCUGAGGAGAAACAAGUGCAAGGACUUUCCCAUGAAGUUCAUGUUCUUCCUUGUUCUCUCUCUCUCUCUCUCUCUCUCUCUCUCUGUGUGUGUGUGUGUGUGUGUGUGUGUAUUUCCUUCUCUUUUCUGGUUAGUACCCCAGGCAAAUUCCGAAUUGCUGCCUAGAAUUAAGCUGAAAUUCACAGAAGGAAGGGCUGCAAAAUCCCCAUAUAUUCAGAGAAAAUGGGGAAUCCCUUAGUUUUCAGGUUAGCUACUGACUUUUCAAAGAAAGCUUCUUGAAGUGCAGUUUUAUGUACUUUGGCUAUGUGCAAUUUUAUCUACUUCGGCUAAGGUUGGCUCCUAAUGACCAAGGCUCAGUGCAAUGAGGGCUCUCUCACAUGCCUGUAUGUAAGAAUCUGCAGCUAUACUGAGCUACCAAUUGUCUUCUGACUGAUUGCUCCAUUGAAUACUAGAUUCACUUCUCAGUCUCUCUCUCUCUCUACACACACACAAACACACACACACACACACACACAAAGUAUGGACACAUGGUCCCCUAAUACUUCUUUAAAGAAUGGGUGGAAGCAUUAGAAAUGUGAAAAUAAUGUCUCAAACAUCUGGAAAAUAAACCUCAGGUUUGAAGAAUAGUGGCCAGAAACUUAAGUUAAUUCAGAGUAGAAGAAAGAAGAAAAAUAAAGAGCAGAAGAGGCACGGGUGUAAACAACUUCAAGUUAAGAAAGAAAAGUAGCCAUAAGAGAGUCAUGUGGUCCCUUAGAAACUAGACUGAUAAAUGCAAUAUGGUGUGUGAGGAGCAGUGUUUAAGAACAUAAUUUCAUUAAUCUGUCUAACAGAACACUCCUUAAUGCUUUCUUUUGCUGUUAUUUAGAGAAUUGGAAUUUUAUCUUUCAGGAAAAGUCAUCUGUCCAUGCAAACCAUUAAAAAAUUAUCUUACAUAUUGUAAAUAUGUAAGCCUCUACUCCAGAAUGUGGACAUUUAGAAAAUAA